UCCAAAGAAAUGAUCAAGACAUAUGCGCUGCCAAACAUUUCUGAUAUUUUAAAUACUACUUGCCUUCAGCCUGUUAGAGACUGGGAAAUCCCCGGGAUUGACUGACUUUUGCUAGACGAAAGACGAAAGACAGGUGUUGCUUAGAUCUAGUGCACCCUGGAUAGCGUUGUUUAAAGCAUGCCAUCUCAGGAAUUCUUCAGGAAUAUUUAGCUUCUUCCGUGCCCUCUCUGGGAAAAAACAUAUUUCAAGACAUCCAUAAAGUCUAUAAAUAAAAUGGAACAGAGCCUUAUUACACAGAAAUUAUGCCCAUUAAAGUGUAGGCCACUGAGAACAAGAUUUAUUCUUAAAAGAUGGAAAUCAGGCAGGAGAAAUGUGCCAAAACCUAUUAAUACAAUGAGUGCAUCCAAAUGUUAGCCGUGACAGCAAGGCUGGUUCACUCUAAGGUUAGCUAAAUAAUUAUUUCAAGGACUCACUGUCCUUCCUGGGAAAAUGGACUGCAAUGUCAAAGUUCUCAUGAUGUGAAGCAU